rnacentral:tRNA from 1 species
CCCAUGGUGGUCUAGUGGUUAAGACUCUGUGCUUCCAAUGCAGAGAUUCAGGGGAGAUGGGUUCAAUCCCUGAUUAGGGGA